rnacentral:tRNA from 1 species
AGUUGGUAGAGCGACACAUUCGUAACGUGUAGGCCGCCGGUUCAAUCCCGGCCUUCGGCU